UCAGACUCUUCGUUGGCCUCGUUUUUAGGUGUUUGAUCCGUGACGUUUCGUCGAAAAAUCACAAGCGCGCAUGCCGUAGGUGUUUGCCUGGUUGCAAGAUCUUGCCGAUUUCAACGUUUUUCCACCUCUUCGGUUGGCGUACGCUGAACUGGACCCUCGCAGCAAGAAUGGCACGUGGGAAUUGACACCGCGAUCGUGGAACACAUGGCUGAUCUGCCUCGAAUAACUGCAAGCCGGCGCGUGCGUAGUGCCGUGGAGAACGAUCAGAAGUCCUGGACGACAAAGAAAAAACUUCAAAGGUUUGUUGUACAUGUUUUCCACGGCAACUGACAUAAACGUAAAAAAAAUUGGAAUGGUCAAAUGCAUGUGUCAAGUUUAACCAUUUGUAGUGGGCUGUGGACAUGAAUUAAGCAUUGCUGCACACAAGACUGGCUUGCCCUCAGUUUAUGCCCAGUACCAAAUUUUUUGCUCUCAUUAUGACACCAUUUGUAAGAAAAGCCAGAACUUAUGUUCAAAACAGCGCAUAUUCUUGCUAUUCUUUUAUUCAGUUGCACGUGUGAGUCCUGCUGCUGGCCAUCAGUUAGCCGGUUAUCAGAAGAAAAGGGCACAGCCCAGUUUUGU